GUGGCUGUAGCUUAGUGGUAAAGCGCCAGUUUGUGGUACUGGAGAUCGGGAGUUCAAUCCUCCUCAGCCACC
rnacentral:tRNA from 1 species